rnacentral:tRNA from 1 species
AGCAAGAUAAGCUAAAUCAAGCUUUUGGGCCCAUACCCCAAAUAUGUUGGUUGAAACCCUUCUCUUGCUA